GCAGGUGCUGCGACGACCCAGCGUCAGAGUGCACAAAACCUCCUGUUGCCAGGGCCGGUGCCCUUCGACGAUGUGGUCCUGGGCUUCAGAAACAAAGAGUGCAGUCGCCUGGACUGGCCCGAGAAGGCUCUUUACACGAACGUGAUAUUAAAGAAUUACGGAAACGCCAUGGCACUGAGUUCCAGGGUUCCAGGAUAUGGCCGUCACUCUUGCUGGGGCUCCAUCCAGUCCGCUCUGGGUUUUGCAGGUGAACUGAUGGUAACAAAGCCCGUGAUGAAGGGAGCCAGUUCUGGAGAGAUCAGGGGCAGAGGCAGCGCGGCCAGCAAGCGAGUCUCAAGCUGGAGGAUUUAUUUAUUUUAUUCGAGAGGGAGAGAGAGUCUUAAGUUGACACCACACUGACAGUGGAGCCCGACUUGGGGCUUGAUCUCACAACCCCGAGAUCA